UACGUAGGGUGCAAGCGUUAAUCGGAAUUACUGGGCGUAAAGCGUGCGCAGGCGGUUCUGUAAGUCCGUCGUGAAAUCCCCGGGCUUAACCUGGGAAUUGCGAUGGAGACUGCAAGGCUAGAAUCUGGCAGAGGGGGGUAGAAUUCCACGUGUAGCAGUGAAAUGCGUAGAGAUGUGGAGGAACACCGAUGGCGAAGGCAGCCCCCUGGGUCAAGAUUGACGCUCAUGCACGAAAGCGUGGGGAGCAAACAGG
rnacentral:rRNA from 1 species